CACCACUGUGAGAGCCAUCACCCUCUUUAGCCUGACGCCAUAAGCCAUAAUAAUAAUAAUGGAUUGGAUUUUAUAUAGCGCUUUUCAAGGCACCCAAAGCGCUUUACAAUACCACUAUUCAUUCACUCUCACUUCAUACACUGGUGGAGGCAAGCUACAGCUGUAGCCACAGCUUCCCUGGGACAGACUGACAGAAACGAGGCUGCCAUAUCGCGCCAUCGGCCCCUCUGGCCAACACCAGUAGGCGGUAGGGUGAAGUGUCUUGCCCAAGGACACAACGACCAAGACAGACAGAGCUGGGGAUCGAACCGGCAACCUUCCGGUUACAAGAUGAGCUUAAUUAGAAUAUUGCAUUUUAUAUUUACCCAGAUUAUCUUUGUAAUAUCAAACAUUUAAGCAUUACAAAUACGGCACAGCUUCUGUAUCACGUGGUAUAAGGCUCCGCCCUUGUCAUUUGUUGAGCAGGAGGAGUGAGCGCUUGUUUUCAUGCAGAUUAAGUCCCGGAUCAAAAUGCGGUACAAUCGUCGUCUUUUUUUUUUUUUUUUUUAAAUCGUUGUCAUUUGGAAAUGAGAUCGCACAUAAGUAUGAAUCGAGAUCGCGAUUUUCUAACGAUUAAUCGUGCAGCCCUACUACAGUAUAUUAAUAAAGUAGGUUCUGACAAAAACAGAGCCACAAAGUGGUCAUUUAAAGCGGUCAUUUAAAGCAUAUUGCCAGCUUAUUUCACUUCAGUGCUCUUUUUCCUCCAUUUUUCCUCACAUGUUAAAAUAUUUUUCCUUUAAACCAACUUCCAAACUGGCAAAAUGAAGCCAUUGUAGAAGUGCCAAGAACUAGAGUUAAACACUACAUGAAUAGACCUGUUAAAAUACCCAGGUAAACACAAGAUUUUAAAAAAAUAAUAAUAAUUUUUUAUAACAAACUGGUACAUUGCCUUCCCCUUCAUAACAACUGUACUGUGUUUGUUCUUAAUAACUUCUGCAUAUGGAUUAUGUUAAUUCUCAUAGCUAGGAGUGUAGCAGCCUUAACUGACAGCUGUGCUAUCACACUGGUUUCCAUACACUAUUGCAGACUAAAAUUUGAGUAUUUUAUUAG
ensembl:lncRNA